UGUCCUAGGCCCAGGCUCUGUCCCUGUCCCGUGCCACCACGCCCCGGGGGGCAGAAGAGCCGCCAGCUGUCCCCACCGCGCUGCAGGAGGCGCAGCAGCGUCUGGCCUUCUCUAACCUCGUCCAGAUUCCUGCUCAGCUGUGAGUCCGGCAUUCUCUGUCCUAUUGGAAAGAAGAUCAAAGAUCGUUCACAGUGCUCGCCCUUCUCGAGUGGAAAGCUUUUACUCCAUGUGGAGCCGGAAGAAAGUUCUAGGGAAUUAGCGCCUCUCUCCACGAAAUCCACUUGGCGGGACAUUCCCAAUACUUACUGAGUCUUAGGCCCCCCGCCCCCCUCCAUACUGCCUUAGUAUCAAGCGCCUACUAUGACAGACAUCUGGCGAGACAGCCAGGAGGAGGAGAGAAAAUAUUAGGCAGGCAUCCCCUCCACCUGAACCACCUGGACUGGGCGUGCCUGUAGGGCCCAGAUUCAAACCCCACCACUCUGAGGCCGCGCCCUGCCCUUUCCUGAACCCCAGCUCCCUCAAAACUGCCUCAAACUGGCUCUAGAGCGCUAGGGUUUAUCCAAAAGUGAAUUGUUAUUCUGACCCCAGGAAGUCACAUGAGACUUGCUGGUGGACCUGGGCUAUUGGAAGUGAGAAGCAAGGCCUCCUUGUAGGAUCUUUUUUAAAAAAUUUUCUUUAUUGAUUAAGGUAUUACAUAUGUGUCCUUAUCCCCACAUUACCCCCAUCCUCCCCUCCACUCAUGCCCUCACUCCCCUGUUGUCUGUGUCCAUUGGUUAGGCCUAUAUGCAUGCAUGUAAGUCCUUUGGUUGAUCUCUCCCCCUUACCCCCACCCUCCCCUACCUUCCCUCUGAGGUUUGACGGUCUAAUCGAUGCUUCUCUGUCUCUGGAUCUGUUUUUGUUCAUCAGUUUAUGUUGUUCAUUAUAAUCCACAAAUAAGUGAGAUCAUGUGGUAUUUAUCUUUCUCUGACUGGCUUAUUUCACUUAGCAUAAUGCUCUCCAGUUCCAUCCAUGCUUUUGCAAAUGGUAAUAACUCCUUUUUUUUUUUUACCGCAGUGUAGUAUUCCAUUGUGUAGAUGUACCACAGUUUUCUAAUCCACUACUGAUAGGCCCUUAGGCUGUUUCCAAAUCUUAGCUAUGGUGAAUUGUGCUGCUAUGAACAUAGGGGUGCAUAUAUCCUUUCUAACUGGUGUUUCCAGUUUCUUGGGAUAUAUUCCUAGAAGUGGGAUCACUGGGUCAAAUGGGAGUUCCAUUUUUAGUUUUUUGAGGAAACUCCAUACAGUGGCUGUACCAGUCUGCAUUCCCACCAGCAGUGCAUGAGGGUUCCUCGCCAACACUUGUUUGUUGAUUUGUUGAUGAUAGCCAUUCUGACAGGUGUGAGAUGGUACCACAUUGUCAUUUUGAUUUGCAUCAGAUAAUUAGUGACUUUGAGCAUGUUUUCAUAUGUCUCUUGGCCUUUCUUCUGUCUUCUUUCAAAGAGUAUCCAUUUAGGUCCAUUGCCCAUUUUUUUAUUGGGUUGUUUAUCUUAACACUCAUCAUUUCCUAGUGCUUAGGGCCAGGCACAAGGAGGAUGAUAGCACAGUCGUUAAAAGAGAGCCCAAAAUGGGGAGAACUGAAUGGAUUACUACGCGCUAAAUCACCCCCCUCCCCCAAUUAUUUUAAAUACUACAGUGCUGUGACAGGAAUGACCGGGGAUGUAUUCCACCCCUGGAACUCUGCGGGGGAUCCUGCCCCUGCCCCGGGCAGUGGUGGGAUCCCAGGUCCUGGAGGAGAAGCCCUUCUUAGGGAAUUGCCUUUCUGGUUCUGGAGAGAGGGAGCACUACUUGGACCAGUCCUAGGGCUCUCACUGGGCAGGGGCAGCAUGCCCAGGAAGGGAGGCGAAGCCCCGCUGGUCUGGGCCGGGACUCCAUGGAAUAUGACCCUGUCUCAAGAGCAGAUGAUCCCAGUCUUGACUGAAAGUGAAGUUUGAACGCCUUUUUCUCUGUAAACCAGGUUGGCCAGGUCGAUACCUCUAAUGGUAACGUGAGACAAGUCUCUCCACCAUCGCUUGGUUGUAUUUGAGCAACAAAGGAUGAUCUUAUUAGAAGCAUUUUAAAAAUAGAACCAUGGGACCAUUCCUGCCCCCACCCACUGAAUGAGAUCACUAAACCACACCUAAUCUUCUGGGAACUAAGUAUUAGCCUGACUUCCUACAUAGAGGUCUUCCUAAGAGAGCUGCAUUUUAGGGGGCUGGUGAGAUGGUUGCUCCAGCAGGGUUCUCGCUGGCUGUUGAGGACUUAUGCAAUAGCAGAUUUCAUCUAGCAGGAUGAAUUAAGAGGUGUUACUCAAAACAUUUUAAAACUCUAAGAUUGGAUCUCAUGGCUCAGAGAGGCUGAAAAAAAGAGAACUAAAAAGGAAAAAAAAAUUUGCAGACUGCUUGCAUUUUUCUUGAUCAGUACUGUUGACAUGGGCUUACAAAAGCGAUCCUGUUCUUUUAAGAGAGCUAGCAAAGUGAGGUUUAAACUGGCCAACUAGAAGACACCUGAGCCAGAGUGCACAGCAGAAUGAGUUACUCAAGAAGUCAUGGUAAAGUACAUUACAAAACAGCUCUCUUGAAGCUGUUCCCAGGAAACAAAAUGCACUUUAAAAUAAGUUGUGACUAGUGCCAGUUUACCUAAAGAGGUUUUCUCCGCCUACAGGUAGGGACAGUAAUGGGUUUGUAAUCUGUAGUUUGGAAAUCAGGACUUAUUUACUCAUGGAAUGAAUGGCAGAUUGCCUGGACAGUGCAUUGGCCUAUGGAACCUCAAAUGGGACACUACAUUAAUAAAUAUAACAUAGGAUAUUGCUUUUCAAUCUUUUUCAUAUUUGUAAAAUACACAAUGUUUUAGAGAAUCCUGAGAUAAAUUGGAAUAAAUUAGGGUAUACAUAUUGUGAAUUGUUGAAAAAAUGUGUUCAAUUUUCUUAAAUUAUAACAAUAAAAUGCAAAGUAUUAGAGGAAAAUAAUUAAAUACUAAGUUUGAAUAAAGCUUUAAAUAA